AUUGAACGCUGGCGGAAUGCUUUACACAUGCAAGUCGAGCGGCAGCGCGGGGGCAACCCUGGCGGCGAGCGGCGAACGGGUGAGUAACAUAUCGGAACGUACCCCGUCGUGGGGGAUAACACAGCGAAAGCUGUGCUAAUACCGCAUACGACCUGAGGGUGAAAGCGGGGGAUCGCAAGACCUCGCGCGAUGGGAGCGGCCGAUAUCGGAUUAGCUUGUUGGUGAGGUAAAGGCUCACCAAGGCGACGAUCCGUAGCUGGUCUGAGAGGACGACCAGCCACACUGGAACUGAGACACGGUCCAGACUCCUACGGGAGGCAGCAGUGGGGAAUUUUGGACAAUGGGGGCAACCCUGAUCCAGCCAUGCCGCGUGAGUGAAGAAGGCCUGGUGUAAG
rnacentral:rRNA from 1 species